rnacentral:misc_RNA from 1 species
UUUCCGUAGGUGAACCUGCGGAAGGAUCAUUAAAGUUAUAGUCCCCCGGCCCCUCCGGGCUGGGGUCUUCUAUACCACCCUUUGUUUAUUACACCUUUGUUGCUUUGGCAGGCCUGCCCUCGGGCUGCUGCUCCGGCCGGCUCGUGCCUGCCAGAGGACCUAAACUCUGUUUGUAUAUGAAGUCUGAGUACGAUAUAAUAGUUAAAACUCUCAACAACGGAUCUCUUGGUUCUG